AGAGUUUGAUCAUGGCUCAGGACGAACGCUGGCGGCGUGCCUAAUACAUGCAAGUCGAGCGCUCCAGCAAUGGAGAGCGGCAGACGGGUGAGUAACGCGUGGGAACCUACCUAGUGGUACGGAAUAGCCCAGGGAAACUUGGGGUAAUACCGUAUACGCCCGAAAGGGGAAAGAUUUAUCGCCGAGGGAUCGGCCCGCGUCCGAUUAGCUAGUUGGUGAGGUAAUGGCUCACCAAGGCGAAGACGCGUAGCUGGUCUGAGAGGAUGAUCAGCCACACUGGGACUGAGACACGGCCCAGACUCCUACGGGAGGCAGCAGUGGGGAAUAUUGGACAAUGGGCGCAAGCCUGAUCCAGCCACGCCGCGUGAGUGAUGAAGGCCUUCGGGUCGUAAAGCUCUUUCAGCGGGGAAGAUAAUGACGGUACCCGCAGAAGAAGCCCCGGCUAACUUCGUGCCAGCAGCCGCGGUAAUACGAAGGGGGCUAGCGUUGUUCGGAAUUACUGGGCGUAAAGCGCGCGUAGGCGGGUUGUUAAGUCAGGGGUGAAAUGCCGAGGCUCAACCUCGGAACUGCCUUUGAUACUGGCAAUCUGGAGAUCGGGAGAGGUGAGUGGAAUUCCUGGUGUAGCGGUGAAAUGCGCAGAUAUCAGGAAGAACACCUAUGGCGAAAGCAGCUCUCUGGGACGGUACUGACGCUGAGACGCGAA
rnacentral:rRNA from 1 species